CCAGAGAACUUUCCAGAGAUGGAUUGGUGCCUUCGGGAACUCUGAGACAGGUGCUGCAUGGCUGUCGUCAGCUCGUGUUGUGAAAUGUUGGGUUAAGUCCCGCAACGAGCGCAACCCUUAUCCUUUGUUGCCAGCGGUCCGGCCGGGAACUCAAAGGAGACUGCCAGUGAUAAACUGGAGGAAGGUGGGGAUGACGUCAAGUCAUCAUGGCCCUUACGAGUAGGGCUACACACGUGCUACAAUGGCGCAUACAAAGAGAAGCGACCUCGCGAGAGCAAGCGGACCUCAUAAAGUGCGUCGUAGUCCGGAUUGGAGUCUGCAACUCGACUCCAUGAAGUCGGAAUCGCUAGUAAUCGUGGAUCAGAAUGCCACGGUGAAUACGUUCCCGGGCCUUGUACACACCGCCCGUCACACCAUGGGAGUGGGUUGCAAAAGAAGUAGGUAGCUUAACCUUCGGGAGGGCGCUUACCACUUUGUGAUUCAUGACUGGGGUGAAGUCGUAACAAGGUAAGCGUAGAUGA
rnacentral:rRNA from 1 species